rnacentral:SRP_RNA from 1 species
GCUGGGUGUUGUGGUGGGCACCUGUAAUCCCAGCUGCUCGGGAGGCUGAGGCAGGAGAAUCACUUGAACCCAGGAGGCGGAGGUUGCAGUGAGCCGAGAUCGUGCUAUUGCACUCCAGCCUGGGUGACAGAGCGAGACCCUGUCUCAA